rnacentral:rRNA from 1 species
GAUGAACGCUGACAGAAUGCUUAACACAUGCAAGUCAACUGUGGCGGACGGGUGAGUAACGCGUAAAGAACUUGCCUCACAGAUAGGGACAACAUUUGGAAACGAAAGCUAAUACCUGAUACUGUGAGAGAGCUUUGCGUCCCAUUAGCUAGUGGGAGAGGUAACGGCUCACCAAGUCGAUGAUGGGUAGCCGUCCUGAGAGGGUGAUCGGCCACAAGGGGACUGAGACACGGCCCUUACUCCGACGGGAGGCAGCAGUGGGGAUUAUGGGACAAUUGACCAAAUUCUGAUCCAGCAAUUCUGUGUGCACGAUGAAGUUUUCGGAAUGUAAAGUGCUUUCAGUUGGGAAGCGGUACCAACAGAAGAAGUGACGGCUAAAUACGUGCCAGCAGCCGCGGUAAUUC